rnacentral:rRNA from 1 species
UACGUAGGGUCCAAGCGUUAUCCGGAAUCACUGGGCGUAAAGCGUGUGUAGGCGGAAGCUUAAGUGAAAUGCGAAAUCUCGUGGCUCAACCAUGUAGACUGUAUUUCAUACUGGGCAUCUGGAGGAUGGCACAGGCAAGUGGAAUUGGUAGUGUAGCAGUGAAAUGCGUAGAUAUUACCAGGAACACCAAUGGCGAAGGCAGCUUGCUGGGCCAUAUCUGACGCUGAGACACGAAAGCGUGGGGAGCGAACAGG